ACCUGCCCUGCUCUGAUUCAAAAAUUCAAUGCAAACUUCUGAUUGUGGAAUUCUGUUGUACAGCAAAUGACAAAACAACAACAACAAAACACCAGCUGCUACAUCAAAAGGAAACAAAGCAGUCAAGUUCGAUACACCUAGAAGUCAAAGCGAGAGAAAGAUGGAACACAGUAGUCACAACAGUCAAGUUAUAAAGAACAAUAUAGCUCUACUCAAAUUAUUGGAUCAAAGAAUGGAAAUAAAAUUUCAUUCAGCCGAGGAUCUCGUUGAUGCUAAGGCAAGAAAAAACAAGACUGAUGAAAAUUAC